GCCAUGAUGUAAGCUUGGACCUUCUUGCCACAAACAACAAACAACCACUGCCCUAAGGGCACACAUACCAACCUCUGUAUUAUAGAGAUUCUCUUGCACCUGAUUUUCUUGUUAUUUAACCAGUUAUUUCUCACUGUAAUCAGAGAACAAGAUAAUUCUGUGUGUUUAUCAGUUUGACUCAGAUGCGCUUGGUGUGAGCUCAGUGAGGGGUCACUUGGAUCAGAGAGAAAGUCACACUCAGACUUACCUGUUUCUAAUAUAACCAGAUUGCCAGCCCCCGCCUUAGUAUGGCCUUCAGCUCCAUCCUUGUGCUGCUUCUGCUGGCCCAAAGCACGAUGCAACAACCGGCAAGUCAAGUCACAAUCGGAACUGCUUCGUCUCUCUCCUGUACAUCAUGUUUUCAGCAAGGUUCCACCCCCUGCACUGGCUCCAGUAUAGAAUGUCCGGCAGGAACUAUCUGUGCCUCACAACUGUAUUUUAUGU